GUCAAUGAAGUUGGUUAAGGACAAGGGAGCUGCUCCCGGCCAGGUGAAAAGGGUGUAAAUUGUAAUGGAGAAAUUGAGAUAGUGACAGCUGCAAAGAAGAAGUUGGAUUUAAGAGACGAUGUGAACAAUAUCGUACUUGAAAAGGAACUUGUGCAUGCCACUGAUGAGAAGGCAAAGCCAACCGCGGUAUUGGAAGAGAAGUCAAGAGGUGUCUUUGCUGUUCCAAAGGCAAGAGUAAAUCAUGCAGAGGUCUCAUUAGGUCAGAAUGAGUGCAAACUGGCCAUUGAUUCGGUGGAAAACAUUGUAGCCAUUGGAACAAUCAUUAAUGUCGACCUUGAGACCAACCAGUAAACUAUCCAUGGCGCUUCAUUGGGAGAGGAAAAUGUACGCGUCUCUAUCAUUCGGACUUUGGUUCCUGAAGCUUUGCUACCAUUUCCCAUAAAAGAUGAGAUAGUGACGGUUAAGGAUGCCAUUGGGACUUGUGUUGCUUGGCCAAAGAACCUAGUCAUUACCCUUGCAGCAGAUGCCAAGAAAAAACUAAAGCGUAAAAAUCAAAAGAAGAGAACAAUGGAUAUGUUUGAAGAUAAUGAAGAUUUGCGAAACUUGCCACCAAAUCUCCCAGCAGCUGUAAGUGCCCUGUGCAUUUGGGCCAACCAUGAACUGCGAGAUGGGGCCACCAUCUACACCACUUUUGAUGCUGAAAUUUUUGGUCAUCGAAGGAAGGCUGUUGUCUUUAGAAGUGACAUCCAUGCCACGGCAAACAUGUUGGAACUAUCAGGAGGCUGCAUUGUAUUUUU